rnacentral:lncRNA from 1 species
GUCAGGAAGUGAAGAUCACAAGCAGACUGAAACUCUGAAGCUUCAUGAUGAAGCUGUUGUCACAGUUAAUACUCUUGGAUAAUGUAUUUAAGGAUGCUUAAGAAAUUGCAACAGCCAGUUCAACCUUCAGCAACCACCAUACUGAUCAGUAGUCAUCAACAUUGAGACGAGACUGUACACCAGCAAAAAGAUCCCAACUCAAUGAAGGCUCAGAUGAUUUUAGCAUUUUUUUAGCAAUAAAGCAUUUUUAAAUUAAACUAUAUACAUUGUUGUUUUAGACAAGUUUUUGCACAUUCAGAAUACAGUAAAGUGUAAACAUGACUUUUAUAUACACUGGGGAAACCAAAAAAUUUGUGUGACUUACUUUAUUGCAAUAUUUGUUUUAUUGUGCUGAUCUGGAGCUAAAUAUAUCUGAGAUAUGCUUGUACUGAUGAUUAUUUUAACACCAAGAUAUUUUAAAAUUCAUUAAAUAAAUGUUUAUUUAAAUAGA